GACGAACGCUGGCGGCGUGCUUAACACAUGCAAGUCGAACGGAAAGGCCCCGCUUUUGUGGGGUGCUCGAGUGGCGAACGGGUGAGUAACACGUGAGUAACCUGCCCUUGACUUUGGGAUAACUUCAGGAAACUGGGGCUAAUACCGGAUAGGAGCUCCUGCUGCAUGGUGGGGGUUGGAAAGUUUCGGCGGUUGGGGAUGGACUCGCGGCUUAUCAGCUUGUUGGUGGGGUAGUGGCUUACCAAGGCUUUGACGGGUAGCCGGCCUGAGAGGGUGACCGGCCACAUUGGGACUGAGAUACGGCCCAGACUCCUACGGGAGGCAGCAGUGGGGAAUAUUGCACAAUGGGCGGAAGCCUGAUGCAGCAACGCCGCGUGCGGGAUGACGGCCUUCGGGUUGUAAACCGCUUUCGCCUGUGACGAAGCGUGAGUGACGGUAAUGGGUAAAGAAGCGCCGGCUAACUACGUG
rnacentral:rRNA from 1 species